AUCUCUAGAUUUACGUCUCCUCACGUCCCUUUUGGCGCUACAUCGGAACGUAGGCAGCCGUUAUUCACUCGGUGGAGGAGGUGGAGAUUUGAGAAGCGCUACACACGGGAGGUCCAGUCCAGAGAGUGAUAUUGGAUCACAUUGAUUCUUCAGAUCCCAGAGUCUUCCAGGGGUUACAGAUUCCCAGUUCAGUGGGCUGGGUGGCGAGCUAGAGGAUCAAGACUUAGAACUUAUACGGAUUGCCCUGGAUUCCUCCUAUGUGUAUGCCAUGUUUCUGUGUAUAUUAAUACACUUCUCAAACUUU